GAAAGUGGUGAUGAGACAUGUGAAGGCUCCACCUCUAGUGGAGUAUCAGAAAACUCCAUCGACUCUUUAGGAGAGGAUUUGCCUGAAAACCAACUCCAUUUGGAAUGCAUCAAUCCAGACAUCGUUCUUUUGAAGCGUCAGAACGGUGCGCCAUUUAAAAUCGAAUUUACGGGAAAGCUUCCUGAAGGGUUGGGAUCCGGAGUUGCGGAUUUUGAAAAUUUAGGAAAGGGAGUAAGAUUAGUGAAGAUGGGUGACAAGACUUUGUUAGGAG